UGUUUCAAUUACAGUCGUUUUCCAAGUUCGUCCCAUUUCCCAUUGUUGGGUUGGUGCAUUAUUAGGAAUUUAAGAGCUAGGGCUCUGAUUUGUUUGUGCUAUUUGUUUUACCAGUAAUGGCGAUCUAGGCUUCUCAGUUUCUUGGUGGCACUGAAUGAAAUGGAUAACGUAACCAGAAGGAAGAGGUGAACCCCACCUCUUAUUUUGGCUCUCUUCCUCAUUGUUUUCUUCCAAAGAUCUACAGUUGACGUUUUGGCUUUGAACUACACAAAUUUUAGACAUGUAUCAAGUUUGAGACUCGCAAGAAUUCAGAGACACUUGGACAAAUCAACAAGCCCGCCAUUAAAACCAUAGAGAACCUAGGUAGAGAUAUAAUUGACUGUGUUCAGACAUAAACAACCAGCUUUAGACCAUCCUCUUCUGAAGAAUCACAAGACCCAGAGAGCACCACUAGAAAUGCCAAGAAUGAGAAUGAACAAGGAAGGAGAAGGGAUGAGAAAUAAGAUUAGUGGUAGUUAAGGAACAGGAGGUGCAUGGCAAACAUGGCAUCUAGGUGGGAAGAGAUGUCCCAAGGGAACGGUUCCCAUAAAGCGAAGCUCAGUGAAUGAUGUGUUGAGAGCCAAGUCUCUGUAUCACUUUGGGAAGAAACGAUGCAUCCUCUUCCCACCCAUCAGGACUUGCUUCAACCAUCAGGACACCCAGACCCAGUCAUGGCCCACCACCAAUCCAUCCAUAUCAGGGCCUCUCAGUUCACUCCCAGAGAACACCAGAUGGUCGCACAGGUCUUUGCCGGAAUGGGACGGCCGAAGACUGUUCUCUGGGCAUGUCUUUUGUCAUGCUGGCAAUCCCAGAACCAAAAAUGCUGACUGAACUGCACACCAUAGUUGGUCUCAGUUGGUUUACUUUCGACUUUUGCUCCACUCUGACAGCGCCUGAGAAACCGAGCUUGGACCUUUACCGAAGAAAGCUCUCUCUUUCUCUGGCUGGUUAUCGUUGAAUGCCAGAUCCAUUGGACUUGGAGGAGUUCUCGAAACCAACACAUGAGAUGGUAAAGGUCUAUCUGAUGAGAGUGCUUGUCCCAACCAAAGAGCACUCUCGUACUGUCUAUCUUCUCCCAACUCCCAAGCAUCAGUCAAAAUGGCGGAAAAUGUCUUGCCCUUGCCACUACUGGCUAGCAAUGGUCGGUUUUGGGACUGUGUGAGAGUGCUUGAGGUUAGUUUUGAGGUUUAAUCGAGAAGCCAAUGAAAAAAAGGGUAAUUUGGACAUUUAAAAAACUUUAAACAGUCGAUGAAAAUUUUUUGGACCAACAGAAUGUUAACAGAAGGGGGUCUUUCUCUAAUGGCUAAAGUUUAAAGAGGUCUUUGUAGCAAAAAAAAGUACAGGGAACUUUGUCACUGACCAAGGGGGUCUUUAUAUUGUCAAAGUCUUGUAUCAUUGCAAAUUUAUUUGCAUUGCAACCAAACAGUCUUAGAUUCAAUUGCAUUGAUUGAGAGCCUUAUUUCCUUAGGCUCUGUUUGUUUGCGACCCAAGCGUCGGACCGGGGUAUUUAUGUACUCCGGUUUGCAUUUGUGAGCAUUUGUUUGAAAUGUAAAAAGUAUUGAUUAUUAGAGUAAAAAUGUAUUUUAUGACAGUUUUAUACUC